rnacentral:sRNA from 1 species
UUUUUUUUAUGUUUUUUGU